CCUACGGGAGGCAGCAGUGGGGGAUAUUGCACAAUGGGGGAAACCCUGAUGCAGCGACGCCGCGUGGGUGAAGAAGCGCCUCGGCGCGUAAAGCCCUGUCAGCAGGGAAGAAAAUGACGGUACCUGAAGAAGAAGCCCCGGCUAACUACGUGCCAGCAGCCGCGGUAAUACGUAGGGGACACGCGUUAACCGGAUUUACUGGGUGUAAAGGGGGCGCAGACGGAGAUGCAGGCCAGGAGUGAAAGCCCUGGGCCCAACCCCGGGACUGCUCUUGGAACUGCGUGGCUAGAGUGCAGGAGGGGCAGGAGGAAUUCCUGGUGUAGCGGUGAAAUGCGUAGAUAUCAGGAGGAACACCGGUGGCGAAGGCGGCCUGCUGGACUGCAACUGACGUUGAGGCCCGAAAGCGUGGGGAGCAAACAGGAUUAGAUACCCUAGUAGUC
rnacentral:rRNA from 1 species